UCCCUGGUAGUAUAUCGGUUAGUACGCGUGCCUGUCAUACUAGGUUUUGAAGUAAUAAUUGCGCGCGAAAGCUGGGUUCAACUCCCAGCCAAGGAG